UAAUGAGAAAAAUGACUGGGACAUAGCAAUACCAGAGUUCAUGGAUUGCAGGUUAAAACUUACAAGGAAAAGUUAAAGGAACUUAACAUGUAUAGCUUGGAGGAGAGACGAGACAGGGGGGAUAUGAUAGAAACAUUUAAAUACAUAAAGGGAAUUGUAAGGAAACCAAGUAUAUUUAAACCUCAUUCUGUAGUUUCCUCCCGAACCGCCAGAGCCUUAGUGAUUAUAGCCCUCCGUUCGGUAGAUAGAAUAGACAAACCAUAUAGUAAUCCCAAUAGCUUCACAAGAAGAUUCCCUUAGUGAAACACACGAAUCCCCAAACAUCAGCCGAAGUCAAGAAGAAGGAACGGAACUACCGAACGGACGGCCACCCAGAAGAGAAGUGGGCUGCUGGUUAACCUAUUGAUCCCAAUUAGAACAUUGCGGUUGACCACAGACACUUCUCAAUUAAAACCGAAUACAGGGUGGUCGUUGUUCGUAUGUCGACCACGAGGCGGCGGCCAUUUUAACUAUGCGAAAGCCCAGCGGUGCUCGAUUAUUUCAUGGAACUAAAAACGGACACUUUUUCAACCGAACACUGCUGAAGCCGUCGACCUCCCCUUCUCAAUCGACAAAAGUAUAUGAAUACCGGCCGUUCGAGAGAUUUAAAGACACGAAUGGACUUAACCCAGAUAGCCUUCCCAUGGAGUCAAUCGCAUACCGAAGAACUGUAAUAGACUUUGACUCCAUGGCGAUUGAACUGUGCGUAUGGGAUCUAAGCGCUAUUCGCCAAUAAUAUGCACUCAGAUCCAGGCUAUCUGGGGAUGUGCUAUACGAAUGCAAUACGUUCAGCAGUUAUAAAGUUCUGUAUUUUAAUGUGUUUUGUAACUUUGAGUUAAAAUGGCGAUUUGCCUCUGCUCUGGGAGAUAAUUGAAUUACUUCCCAAUUAUCUACCGAGCAGAGGGGAGGAAACUGUGAUGCAUGCUGG